rnacentral:rRNA from 1 species
UACGGGGGGGGCAAGCGUUGUUCGGAAUUACUGGGCGUAAAGGGCUCGUAGGUGGCCAACUAAGUCAGACGUGAAAUCCCUCGGCUUAACCGGGGAACUGCGUCUGAUACUGGAUGGCUUGAGUUUGGGAGAGGGACGCGGAAUUCCAGGUGGUAGCGGUGAAAUGCGUAGAUAUCUGGAGGAACACCGGUGGCGAAGGCGGCGUCCUGGACCAACACUGACACUGGAUGAGCGAAAGCCAGGGGAGCAAACGGG